rnacentral:lncRNA from 1 species
CUUGGAGUAAGGACCUGGGUUUCCAAGGCCCCCGCCCCGAAACCCCCCGGCCGCAACCAACCCCCCCGCUUUAAGGCCCCCCCCCCCUGGUUGGAGCCCCCCCCCUGGAUGGGGGAUGGGACCUCAGGCCGAAGCCCGCCCUGCCCCGGAGGCCUGUUCCUCGGGAGGAGGGCCGAGAACUUGCCCCUGGCGUCAGUGGGAACCGGGGAGUGUCUCAGCAGCGGAGGGAGUAUUCCCAGCUGGCCUUGAAGAGACGAGCCUGGCAAAGGACACAGAAAGCUUGAUCGGCCUGGCCCCCCACCCUGUACCAAGCCCCGGGGGGCUCCUGGCCCCGCCGUGCCCUCUCCCUGCCAGCCCUUCCCUCUCUGCCUGGACUGCAUUCGUCCCCUUGGCUUCUUCCCAUCCCCGGGGUGUGACCUUGGGCUGAGCGUGCUCACUGGGCUGACGGUGUCUGUGCACCCAGGAGGAACCAGGCCUGGCCCCCUUGAAAGCUUUGUGCCAACAGAGAGGUUCCCGUCCAGACCCAGGAGGGCGGAAGGAGAGACUGGGCCUGGGUGCCGAGGCCGGAAAGACACCUGCCUGCAGAGCCGGGCGAGGGCCACGGGUGUCGGAAGACUCUGUGCUCCCGCAGCACCGCCCAGACAGCCCGGCCUCGGCUCCUGACUCUCCACAACCGCGAUGGAUGUUUGCAGGAACCCAGCCAGCGUCUGCCUCCCCGCACUUGAUGUCCACUGCACCUGCUUGCACUUAACCUUCGGAGAAGACCCUUCAAGUGGAGGACACACUCAGGAGCCACGCCCAGCUCUGCCUGAGAAGCCCGGCUGGCCUCACUCAGCCUGAGGCUGGCCUCCUAUGCAGCCGCUUUCACGCCGAGACCCCGAGGGA